UCGUGCAGCAUGCAAAAAAAGAAAGGGGGAAGAGGGUUCUAAACCCUUGGCAUAACUUCAAUCCUCCGUAACUUUCAAUCCGGAGCUCCGAUUGACGAGCCGUUUGCGGCCACGCGUUCGUCUCAGAGUUCUCUUCAAUUCUAUCCAAACAAAAAGAUAUUUCUCUCUCUAAUUCGUGCCCAGAAUUCUGUUUCCCCUUUAUGUACGAAAUUGGCUUGAGCUUUGAGAGAUUUUGAUGAUUUUGGUGGUUUAGGUGCAAUCUAAUAUUGGAUAAUUAUUGGAUUAUACUCCAAUCAUCGAUGGGUAAGGUGUAGAUUAAGCGGAUAUAUAUGCUUCAGAAUUGAAUUGGGAGCACUUGGAGGCUUAUUGGUGAUCAAGGCUUCUUUUGGGGCUGUUUUAAUUGAGCUUAGAGGGCUGUAAUUUGUGUUGUGAGGCUGCCUUGGGUAAAUCUAAGUGAUCGGCCAAGAUGCAGGUCGAGAGGCUC